rnacentral:rRNA from 1 species
AGACGAACCGUACGAACGUUAUUCGGAAUCACGGGGCUUAAAGAGUGCGUAGGCGGCCUAGUAAGUUGGGUGUGAAAUCCCACGGCUCAACCGUGGAACUGCGCUCAAUACUGCUAGGCUUGAGGGAGAUAGAGGUGAGCGGAACUAAUGGUGGAGCGGUGAAAUGCGUUGAUAUCAUUAGGAACACCGGUGGCGAAGGCGGCUCACUGGAUCUCUUCUGACGCUGAGACGCGAAAGCGUGGGUAGCAAACAGGAUUAGAAACCCCGGUAGUCC